rnacentral:rRNA from 1 species
UGUAAUAAUAAGAAAUUUAGUUCACUACUUGUGAAAUGUUUAAUUAUUAGAAUGUAUCAACAGAGUUUUUUGGAUAACUCAGUUAAUCAUCCUAACCAAGAUCGAUAAUUGGAUUAAAAAAUAUUUUUAUUCUGA